rnacentral:lncRNA from 1 species
CAAUAAAGUUUUUGGCGCCCUGAAGGGAGCUGUGGAUGGAGUCUUGUCUAUCCCCCAUAGUACCAAACGAUUCCCUGGCCAUGACUCUGAAAGCAAGGAGUUCAAUGCAGAGGUGCACCGGAAGCACAUCAUGGGUCAGAAUGUGGCAGACUACAUGCGCUACCUGAUGGAGGAGGAUGAGGAUGCGUAUAAGAAACAGUUCUCUCAGUACAUCAAGAACAACGUGACUCCAGACAUGAUGGAGGAGAUGUAUAAGAAAGCUCAUGCUGCUAUCCGAGAGAAUCCAGUCUAUGACAAGAAGCCCAAGAGAGAAGUGAAGAAGAAGAGGUGGAAUCGUCCCAAAAUGUCUCUUGCCCAGAAGAAAGACCGGGUUGCUCAAAAGAAGGCAAGCUUCCUCAGAGCUCAGGAAUGGGCUGCUGAAAGCUAAAGCCAUUUUCUAUGAAGAUUUUUUCAUAAAGAAAAUAAACAUUGAUCAAAGCAAA